rnacentral:rRNA from 1 species
GAUGAACGCUGGCGGCGUGCCUAAUACAUGCAAGUCGAGCGAACGGACGAGAAGCUUGCUUCUCUGAUGUUAGCGGCGGACGGGUGAGUAACACGUGGAUAACCUACCUAUAAGACUGGGAUAACUUCGGGAAACCGGAGCUAAUACCGGGUAAUAUUUUGAACCGCAUGGUUCAAAAGUGAAAGACGGUCUUGCUGUCACUUAUAGAUGGAUCCGCGCUGCAUUAGCUAGUUGGUAAGGUAACGGCUUACCAAGGCAACGAUGCAUAGCCGACCUGAGAGGGGGAUCGGCCACACUGGAACUGAGACACGGUCCAGACUCCUACGGGAGGCAGCAGUAGGGAAUCUUCCGCAAAGGGCGAAAGCCUGACGGAGCAACGCCGCGUGAGUGAUGAAGGUCUUCGGAUCGUAAAACUCUGUUAUUAGGGAAGAACAUAUGUGUAAGUAACUGUGCACAUCUUGACGGUACCUAAUCAGAAAGCCACGGCUAACUACGUG